CCGGAGACUGGGUUGAACUGAGGUAGCGUUAAGGUAAUAAAAAGAAACGAUAAGAUCCUGUAGAUAUGAAUUGGAAGAAGUGCACUGUGCCUGCAAAUUGGCACAAUUGUGGCUAACCAUGCUAAGAUGCUGAUGGAUCACUGACAGCAGUAUCUCUGAAACUUGACCAGUCUAUCAGCAGUGCAAACAGUUGAAGACCAAUGGACCACUACCAAUAGCAAAUUGGAUGGUGUUUUGAAAAGUCAAGACGGGUGAUUGAAGUUGGCAAUUUCAGAAUCCAGAUCAUAUGCACUGCUCACUAAUGGGCCAUGCCAUCUUGUAUGUUCCACAGGUGCCAUGGUAACUAAUGGAAUACUGACUAGCAGCCCAGAUUAUAUUUCAGCAUCAACUUGUGGCAGGCUAAUGGUUAUGAAUUUGGAUGAAUUCUGAAACUGGUACAGAAUGGUUGAUCCAAUCCUUAAUUGCAACACCGCUAACUGCUUGAGAUGCACAUUCAGGAUGUUUUAUCUGUGCUUUGUCUGUUUUUGAAUAAAAGUUCAUUUUAAUGUA